rnacentral:rRNA from 1 species
GACGAACGCUGGCGGCGUGCUUAACACAUGCAAGUCGAACGGAAAGGCCCACCACCUUGGUGGUGGGUACUCGAGUGGCGAACGGGUGAGUAACACGUGGGUGAUCUGCCCCGCACUGUGGGAUAAGCCUGGGAAACUGGGUCUAAUACCACAUACGACCAUGGCGUAGGGGUCAUGGUGGAAAGCCUUGUGCGGUGUGGGAUGAGCCCGCGGCCUAUCAGCUUGUUGGUGGGGUAAUGGCCUACCAAGGCGGCGACGGGUAGCCGGCCUGAGAGGGUGGACGGCCACAUUGGGACUGAGACACGGCCCAGACUCCUACGGGAGGCAGCAGUGGGGAAUAUUGCACAAUGGGCGCAAGCCUGAUGCAGCGACGCCGCGUGGGGGAUGAAGGCCUUCGGGUUGUAAACUCCUUUCGCCCGGGACGAAGCCCACCUGGUGGGGACG